AAUAAAAAGAAUUUAAAUACCAAAUUGUUUUUAAAUAGCUUCCCUUGGGGAUCCCUAACAAUAUAGGCCUCCACCAGGGAUUUAAUCCCUUAAUUAGAUGAAUUAAUUAACUUUUGAAAAUAAUCUCCAACUAAUGAGGUGCGUUGUGCAUUUCAUCUGCGUCGUUGGAAGGAAGAUAAUUUUAGCUCUUACAUUUUAGGGUUGCUACAACUCUAAUUUGUUGAGGAUUGAAUAUAAAGACUUAUCAAUUUUGUUAAUUCUGUUAGAUUUCCACAAUCCAUAAUAAUGAAGUAUGCAGAUUUUUGGAUUUGAUUGUGUUCAAGUUUUUGAACAUCAAUGUUUCGGAUCACACUCCAUGAUCCAUCAUCAGGAUGAAUGAGAAAGAGAGGGAGAUUGCAACGCUUCGCAAAGGUUUGGUUUAAAGAAGUUUCCUAUGAGCCCCAUGGAAAAAAAAAAUUCAUCAUAAAAGGCUGAAUUCAGGGUUCCAUUCUUUUUUUGGUUUUCUAGAUCUCCACUCAACAAAUGGAGGUAACAUGCAAAGAAAUUUAGCUGGAUUCAUGGUUGUGAUUAUUCUCUAAAAUUUUCUAUAAAAAACCCUUAUUCCAUAGCUUGGUUGACUGCUGGUGUGUAUGGGUGCUUUUUUUUUUUUAUGUGCACCCUUUGAAAGAGUGCAACUCUUCAUUAUUAAAGACAAGUAAUUAUUUAAAAGAGUGCAACUCUUCAUUAUUUUUGUCCUUUGAAAGGGACACACCUUUCACAAUCAGAUUUGCACUUCUGAUUUCUCAAUUAUCCCCCUUUAAAUGGGUUCUCUUCUCCCUUUUA